UACGUAGGGUGCGAGCGUUGUCCGGAAUUACUAGGCGUAAAGAGCUCGUAGGUGGUUUGUCGCGUUGUUCGUGAAAUCUCACGGCUUAACUGUGAGCGUGCGGGCGAUACGGGCAGACUGGAGUACUGCAGGGGAGACUGGAAUUCCUGGUGUAGCGGUGGAAUGCGCAGAUAUCAGGAGGAACACCGGUGGCGAAGGCGGGUCUCUGGGCAGUAACUGACGCUGAGGAGCGAAAGCGUGGGGAGCGAACAGG
rnacentral:rRNA from 1 species